rnacentral:rRNA from 1 species
GCUAGUAAUCGUGGAUCAGCAUGCCACGGUGAAUACGUUCCCGGGUCUUGUACACACCGCCCGUCACACCAUGGGAGUCGGUAACACCCGAAGUCAGUAGUCUAACCGCAAGGAGGACGCUGCCGAAGGUGGGAUUGACGACUGGGGUGAAGUCGUAACAAGGUAAC